rnacentral:rRNA from 1 species
CGGAGGGUGCAAGCGUUAUCCGGAUUCACUGGGUUUAAAGGGUGCGUAGGCGGAAUUGUAAGUCCGUGGUGAAAUCUCCAAGCUUAACUUGGAAACUGCCAUGGAUACUAUAGUUCUUGAAUGUUGUGGAGGUUUGCGGAAUAUGUCAUGUAGCGGUGAAAUGCUUAGAUAUGACAUAGAACACCGAUUGCGAAGGCAGCAGGCUACACAAAUAUUGACGCUGAGGCACGAAAGCGUGGGGAUCAAACAGGAUUAGAUACCCUGGUAGUCCACGCCCUAAACGAUGAUUACUCGACAUUUGCGAUAUACAGUAAGUGUCUGAGCGAAAGCAUUAAGUAAUCCACCUGGGAAGUACGACCGCAAGGUUG